rnacentral:ncRNA from 2 species
AGAUGGUGAACUAUGCCU